rnacentral:lncRNA from 1 species
GACAACCACCCAAUGGAACGGCCAAGCAGAGCAAAUGCUGCUCCUGGAGGAAACCGGUCAGCGAGUCAAAAUGGUCAUCUCAGGGACAUGGGAGGAGAUACCGUAGCCCCCAAACUAGAGCAGAAGCCGGGGAAAGGAAACGGCAGAGAAGGCUGAGUGACGGGAGAAACAAGCCACAUCGCAGCUAUAUAGGAUCCACUGCCUGCUGUUGGCUACAGCAGAGGUCUGCUAUGGUCCUUUCUGAAGAAUGGGUCUUGUGCCAGUUUUGUCAUUCCUGUUGUCUGCGCUGGGCUCCUUCCAGUGAUUGCAUCAAAUCAGUAACCAUAACUCCCUGGACAUUCAAAGGGACAUACACCAGAAAAACAAGGAAUAGUAUGAUAAACUAAAAACCUUAUAAACUGUGGGAAACAGAUUUGGGCCUCAAAUAGUUAUCUAAUGGCUAAAGGGUCACCUUCACAGGCCAUCCAUCCUCUGCUUGGAGUGAAAGCUAUAGACAUCUGUCUCUGUUCAUACUUAGAUCCAUGGAAAGUCUUGACCCAAUAAUAAAAUCCCCCCUCAGAAAACAAAAACAAAAACAAAACAAAAAAACCAAAAACCUCUGGUUCCGGUUCAGUGACCCUGCUCAGAGGCAUCUGACACCAAGGGUUUGCUCGCCAGAUCAGAGAUCCAACACACCUGGACACUGCUGAGGUCCCAGUGGCAGUUCUGCCUCCAUAUAAGACAAGAGGACAGACAUCAGAGUAUUGGAACUGUUUGCAUCUACCAGAAGGGAACCUUGGUCCCAUACCCACCAGGAGAGGAAGAGACUCCUGCUACACCCACCAGAAGAAUGGAUGAAAAGAGGUCAGGAAAAAGUAUAUUCAAC